AUUCAAAUGACGAGUCCUAACUAGGACGAAACACACGUCCUGAAU
rfam:Schistosoma mattheei strain Denwood, Zambia genome assembly, scaffold: SMTD_scaffold0028428